UUCAAGUGUAAUCAUAAGUUUUCGCAUCCAACUUUAAUCAUCCGUCUUGUUUAAUUUUUUAAAAAUUAGUAUUUUUAUUGUUAUGAGAUGGUAAAAUAUGAAUAAUAUUUUACUUGUGAUUUAUGUUUUUUAUUUUUUUUUUAAAAAAAAUAAGAUAGUUGGACGUGGAAAACUAUAGCGUUAGUAAAA
rnacentral:pre_miRNA from 1 species